ACUGACACACCGCCGUCCGCGGGCUGAGCUUCAGUGACACCGAAGGGCACUGGCCAACAUGUCAAAACAGUUUUGAUUCCAUGAACCAAAGGGCGCACAAGGUCUAUUGCAAGCUCAGGUGAAGUCGUGGGACUCCAAAGGUAGUGGCUUUCUUGCUGCUGGUCGAUUUGCAUUACAGAGGCCGUUUACUUUCAAUUCCACUUUUACAAAAGUAGUCAAGCUCUGUAUUUCACAGGAAAUUGCUUUGGAGAUGAGGAAACAAACUCUUAUGGAUUCUCUUCAGAGGACAAGAGAAGAUGUUACAUUCUCUGCAUGAGGACAAUUCUGCAGCAUCAAAAUCGAAUAAUAUUUGUUUUCUGGCAGCAGAAUUUUGUAUCAUAUUUCUAAAGACAGUAAGCACUUGGGUGGACGUCAAUGAAUACUAAACACUAAUUGAUCUGAUACAGCCGUAUGCACAUACACAGAUAUACAUGGUGGCUUGUAAUGGUUGAAAAAUUACGGUUUGGUUUUAUUAAAAGAUCUGUCACUUUUAGGUCAGAGUGGGAUUUUGGAGGGAUAGUCUCCCACAAUAGAAAACUACCCUGACAACAGUGGUGUUUUGAGGUUGUUUGUUGUUUGGCUUCUUGAUGAUGCUUAGCUAAGGAGACACUUCCUUUCAGAUUCUGUCUUCCAAACCCCAGGGCUCUGUUCUGGGCAGUUCAGCCUAAUGGAAUUAAGCCUGACAUGUUUCAACUCUAUUUCUUGAUAAAAUAAACAUAAAACAAUGGUUUAGAUUUCGAAUAAAACUCUUGAAGCAUGGG
rnacentral:lncRNA from 1 species